UACGUAGGGUGCGAGCGUUGUCCGGAAUUAUUGGGCGUAAAGCGCACGUAGGCGGCUUUGCAAGUCGGAUGUGAAAUCCCACGGCUCAACCAUGGAAGUGCAUCCGAAACUGCAGAGCUUGAGUACUUAAGAGGAUCGCGGAAUUCCCGGUGUAGAGGUGAAAUUCGUAGAUAUCGGGAGGAACACCAGUGGCGAAGGCGGCGAUCUGGGAAGAUACUGACGCUGAGGUGCGAAAGCGUGGGGAGCAAACAGG
rnacentral:rRNA from 1 species